GGAGGGUUGACAGAGCGGCCGAAUGUGACGGUCUUGAAAACCGUUGUGCGCAAGCACCAAGGGUUCGAAUCCCUUACCCUCCG
rnacentral:tRNA from 1 species